rnacentral:sRNA from 2 species
AUUUAGCCCUGAUAGCAGCAAGUAUCCUUGUCAUUGCGAGGCACGAGCAGUUUUUUUGACAAGAUACUGCGGAUAGCAGGUAUAUGG